UCAGUCUGCAUUUACAAGCUG
rnacentral:piRNA from 1 species